AACGAACGCUGGCGGCAGGCUUAACACAUGCAAGUCGAACGCCCCGCAAGGGGAGUGGCAGACGGGUGAGUAACGCGUGGGAACAUACCCAUCACUACGGAAUAACUCAGGGAAACUUGUGCUAAUACCGUAUACGACCGAGAGGUGAAAGAUUUAUCGGUGAUGGAUUGGCCCGCGUUGGAUUAGCUAGUUGGUGGGGUAAAGGCCUACCAAGGCGACGAUCCAUAGCUGGUCUGAGAGGAUGAUCAGCCACAUUGGGACUGAGACACGGCCCAAACUCCUACGGGAGGCAGCAGUGGGGAAUAUUGGACAAUGGGCGCAAGCCUGAUCCAGCCAUGCCGCGUGAGUGAUGAAGGCCUUAGGGUUGUAAAGCUCUUUCACCGGAGAAGAUAAUGACGGUAUCCGGAGAAGAAGCCCCGGCUAACUUCGUGCCAGCAGCCGCUGUAACAC
rnacentral:rRNA from 1 species